ACGCGCUAAGUGGGGAGUUAGCGGUGCCCUGUACCCGGAAUCCGCUAUACCGGGACCGAACUCCCACCCGAGGCUUGUAACCGUUAAGCGAAUGCCGCUUGGGGGUGUUGAUCGAACGGGCCUUGCGCAACGGCAGGCCACCUAACCCCGUCAGGACUGGAAAGUAGCAGCGGUAAGUGGAUUCUCCGUGUGAUGUAAGUUUACCCGAACGUGAGCUUGCCAUCGACAGGAGCUUUUCAGCCAAGGGUCAACGGUGGGUGCGCGU
rnacentral:SRP_RNA from 1 species